rnacentral:hammerhead_ribozyme from 1 species
AGCCAGCUGACGAGUCCCGAAUAGGACGAAACGCGUGUCCUGGAU